ACGCUGAGACAGGUGGUGCAUGGCUGUCGUCAGCUCGUGUCGUGAGAUGUUGGGUUAAGUCCCGCAACGAGCGCAACCCUUGUCAUUAGUUGCCAUCAUUAAGUUGGGCACUCUAAUGAGACUGCCGGUGACAAACCGGAGGAAGGUGGGGAUGACGUCAAGUCAUCAUGCCCCUUAUGACCUGGGCUACACGCGUGCUACAAUGGACGGUACAACGAGAAGCGAACCUGCGAAGGCAAGCGGAUCUCUUAAAGCCGUUCUCAGUUCGGACUGUAGGCUGCAACUCGCCUACACGAAGCUGGAAUCGCUAGUAAUCGCGGAUCAGCACGCCGCGGUGAAUACGUUCCCGGGCCUUGUACACACCGCCCGUCACACCAUGAGAGUCUGUAACACCCAAAGCCGGUGGGAUAACCUUUAUAGGAGUCAGCCGUCUAAGGUAGGACAGAUGAUUAGGGUGAAGUCGUAACAAGGUAGCCGUAGGAGAACCUGCGGCUGGAUCACCUCC
rnacentral:rRNA from 1 species